GUCUAUCUCUUUCAACGCUGGCUAAGGUAACGAAUAUCAGCACUGGGGCCACGCGUAGUUGACACACCUCUUAUACUACCACCAGGGCCAUAAAACUGCCCCUGGAAAUGCCCACAACUCCUUGGAAAGCCUUGGCAAAUGUGUGUUUCUUAGGGUCACGGUACAGGGGAAGGGUCACACUACCACCAGGGUCAUAAAACUACCCCCGGAAAUGCCCACAACUCCUACGAAAGCCUUGUCAAAUGUGUGUUUCUUUAGGUUUACGGUACAGAGGAAGGGUCACACUACCACCAGGGUCAUAAAACAACCCCCGGAAAUGCCCACAACUCCUACGAAAGCCUUGUCAAAUAUGUGUUUCUUUAGGUUCACGGUACAGAGGAAGGGUCACACCACCACCAGGGUCAUAAAACUACCCACAACUCCUAGGAAAGCCUUGUCAAAUGUGUGUUUCUUAGGUUCACGGUACAGAGGGAGGGUCACACUACCACCAGGGUCAUAAAACUACCCUUGGAAAUGCUCCCUACAACUCCUAGGAAAGCCUUGUCAAAUAUGUGUUUCUUUAGGUUCACGGUACAGAGGAAGGGUCACACUACCACCAGGGUCAUAAAACUACCCACAACUCCUAGGAAAGCCUUGUCAAAUGUGUGCUUCUUAGGUUCACUGUGCAGGGGAAGGGUCAAACUACAACCAGGGUCAUAAAACUACCCCUGGAAAUGCCCACAACUCCUAGGAAAGCCUUGUCAAAUGUGUGUUUCUUUAGGUUCACGGUACAGAGGAAGGGUCACACCACCACCAGGGUCAUAAAACUACCCACAACUCAUAGGAAAGCCUUGUCAAAUGUGUGCUUCUUAGGUUCACGGUACAGAGGGAGGGUCACACUACCACCAGGGUCAUAAAACUACCCUUGGAAAUGCUCCCUACAACUCCUAGGAAAGCCUUGUCAAAUGUGUGUUUCUUUAGGUUCACGGUACAGAGGAAGGGUCACACCACCACCAGGGUCAUAAAACUACCCACAACUCCUAGGAAAGCCUUGUCAAAUGUGUGUUUCCUUAGGUUCACGGUACAGAGGAAGGGUCACACUACCACCAGGGUCAUAAAACUACCCCUGGAAAUGCCCACAACUCCUAGGAAAGCCUUGCCAAAUAUGUGUUUCUUUAGGUUCACAGUACAGAGGGAGGGUCACACUACCACCAGGGUCAUAAAACUACCCCUGGAAAUGCCCACAACUCCUAGGAAAGCUUUGUCAAAUAUGUGUUUCUUUAGGUUCACGGUACAAUGCUGCAGCUAGCCAGUCAUUGCUAACAGCCUUUAUCAACCCUAUUUCAACCAUAUUUCAACCAUAUUUCAACCAUA